rnacentral:rRNA from 1 species
GACGAACGCUGGCGGCGCGCUUAACACAUGCAAGUCGUGCGGUGUCGAAGGCAAGUCUUACGACAAGCCUUCGACACAGCGGCGAACGGGUGAGUAACACGUGAGUAGCUGUCCUAAGGAGGGGGAUAACGCCUGGAAACGGGUGCUAACACCCCAUAUGCCUCGCAAGAGGUGAAAGUGUACUUGCUACAGCCUUAGGGUGUGCUCGCGGCCUAUCAGCUAGUUGGUGAGGUAACGGCUCACCAAGGCUAAGACGGGUAGCCGGCCUGAGAGGGUGUACGGCCACACUGGAAUUGAGAUACGGUCCAGACUCCUACGGGAGGCAGCAGUGGGGAAUCUUGGGCAAUGGGCGAAAGCCUGACCCAGCGACGCCGCGUUGGGGAUGAAGCCCUUCGGGGCGUAAACCCAUGUUGUAGGGGACGAAGAAAGUGACGGUACCCUACGAGAAAGCCCCGGCCAACUACGUG